AGGGUUUGAUCCUGGCUCAGAACGUACGCUGGCGGCACGCCUAACACAUGCAAGUCGAACGAAGUAGCAAUACUUAGUGGCAGACGGGUGAGUAACAUGUAGGUAUCUGCCCUAUGGCCUGGAAUAACACGAGGAAACUUGUGCUAAUACCGGAUAAGUCUUUACGGAGAAAGCUUUAUGCACCAUUGGAUGAGCCUGCAUUUGAUUAGUUUGUUGGUGGGGUAAUGGCCUACCAAGACUGUGAUCAAUAGCUGAUUUGAGAGGAUGAUCAGCCACAUUGGGACUGAGACACGGCCCAAACUCCUACGGGAGGCAGCAGUGGGGAAUCUUGCACAAUGGGGGAAACCCUGAUGCAGCGAUGCCGCGUGAGUGAAGAAGGCCUUUGGGUUGUAAAGCUCUUUCGUCGGGGAAGAAAAUGACUGUACCCGAAUAAGAAGGUCCGGCUAACUUCGUGCCAGCAGCCGCGGUAAUACGAAGGGACCUAGCGUAGUUCGGAAUUACUGGGCUUAAAGAGUUCGUAGGUGGUUGAAAAAGUUGGUGGUGAAAUCCCAGAGCUUAACUCUGGAACUGCCAUCAAAACUUUUCAGCUAGAGUAUGAUAGAGGAAAGCAGAAUUUCUAGUGUAGAGGUGAAAUUCGUAGAUAUUAGAAAGAAUACCAAUUGCGAAGGCAGCUUUCUGGAUCAUUACUGACACUGAGGAACGAAAGCAUGGGUAGCGAAGAGGAUUAGAUACCCUCGUAGUCCAUGCCGUAAACGAUGUGUGUUAGACGUUGGAAAUUUAUUUUCAGUGUCGCAGCGAAAGCGAUAAACACACCGCCUGGGGAGUACGACCGCAAGGUUAAAACUCAAUGAAUUGACGGGGACCCGCACAAGUAGUGGAGCAUGUGGUUUAAUUCGAAGAUACGCGCAGAACCUUACCAACACUUGACAUGUUCGUCGCGACUUUAAGAGAUUAAAGUUUUCGGUUCGGCCGGACGAAACACAGGUGCUGCAUGGCUGUCGUCAGCUCGUGUCGUGAGAUGUUGGGUUAAGUCCCGCAACGAGCGCAACCCUCACUUUUAGUUGCCAUCAUUAAGUUGGGCACUCUGAAAGAACUGCCAGUGAUAAGCUGGAGGAAGGUGGGGAUGACGUCAAGUCCUCAUGGCCCUUACGUGUUGGGCUACACACGUGCUACAAUGGUAUCUACAACAGGAAGCAAAACCGCGAGGUUAAGCAAAUCCUUAAAAGAUACCUCAGUUCGGAUUGCACUCUGCAACUCGAGUGCAUGAAGCUGGAAUUACUAGUAAUCGUGGAUCAGCGUGCCACGGUGAAUGCGUUCCCGGGUCUUGUACACACCGCCCGUCACACCAUGGGAGUUGGUUCUACCUUAAGGCAAGGUUUCAAACCCUUGACCACGGUAUAGUCAGCGACUGGGGUGAAGUCAUAACAAGGUAGCCGUA
rnacentral:rRNA from 1 species